rnacentral:rRNA from 1 species
GCUGGCGGCGCUGCUUAACACAUGCAAGUCGAACGAUGAAGCCUAGCUUGCUAGGUGGAUUAGUGGCGAACGGGUGAGUAAUACGUGAGUAACCUACCUUUAACUCUGGGAUAAGCCUGGGAAACUGGGUCUAAUACCGGAUACGACCAAUCUCCGCAUGGGGUGUUGGUGGAAAGCGUUAUGUAGUGGUUAUAGAUGGGCUCACGGCCUAUCAGCUUGUUGGUGAGGUAACGGCUCACCAAGGCGACGACGGGUAGCCGGCCUGAGAGGGUGACCGGCCACACUGGGACUGAGACACGGCCCAGACUCCUACGGGAGGCAGCAGUGGGGAAUAUUGCACAAUGGGCGCAAGCCUGAUGCAGCGACGCCGCGUGAGGGAUGACGGCCUUCGGGUUGUAAACCUCUGUUAGCAGGGAAGAAGAGAGAUUGACGGUACCUGCAGAGAAAGCGCCGGCUAACUACGUGCCAGCAGCCGCGGUAAUACGUAGGGCGCGAGCGUUGUCCGGAAUUAUUGGGCGUAAAGAGCUUGUAGGCGGUUUGUCGCGUCUGCUGUGAAAGGCCGGAGCUUAACUCCGUGUAUUGCAGUGGGUACGGGCAGACUAGAGUGCAGUAGGGGAGACUGGAAUUCCUGGUGUAGCGGUGGAAUGCGCAGAUAUCAGGAGGAACACCGAUGGCGAAGGCAGGUCUCUGGGCUGUAACUGACGCUGAGAAGCGAAAGCAUGGGGAGCGAACAGGAUUAGAUACCCUGGUAGUCCAUGCCGUAAACGUUGGGCACUAGGUGUGGGGGACAUUCCACGUUUUCCGCGCCGUAGCUAACGCAUUAAGUGCCCCGCCUGGGGAGUACGGCCGCAAGGCUAAAACUCAAAGAAAUUGACGGGGGCCCGCACAAGCGGCGGAGCAUGCGGAUUAAUUCGAUGCAACGCGAAGAACCUUACCAAGGCUUGACAUAUACUGGACCGCAUCAGAGAUGGUGUUUCCCUUCGGGGCUGGUAUACAGGUGGUGCAUGGUUGUCGUCAGCUCGUGUCGUGAGAUGUUGGGUUAAGUCCCGCAACGAGCGCAACCCUCGUUCUAUGUUGCCAGCACGUUAUGGUGGGGACUCAUAGGAGACUGCCGGGGUCAACUCGGAGGAAGGUGGGGAUGACGUCAAAAUCAUCAUGCCCCUUAUGUCUUGGGCUUCACGCAUGCUACAAUGGCCGGUACAGAGGGUUGCGAUACUGUGAGGUGGAGCUAAUCCCUAAAAGCCGGUCUCAGUUCGGAUUGGGGUCUGCAACUCGACCCCCUGAAGUCGGAGUCGCUAGUAAUCGCAGAUCAGCAACGCUGCGGUGAGUACGUUCCCGGGCCUUGUACACACCGCCCGUCA